GUCCUUAGCGGGCUGUCUCUGAACCACUCAACAGGCCCAAGAGAUCUCCUCACUACAAAGAAGUUGGGAAGAGGCUCCUCCUUCACCAGGUUUGAAUGAUGGUAUAGAUUACUGGCGUAUGGUGGUCUGACUGAAAAUGGCCCCCAUAGACUUACAGGAAGUGGCCAAAAACUCAAGCCAAAUCCAGUCUCUCACCCUUUUCCUGCUGCCU